UGGGGAAUCUUGCGCAAUGGGCGAAAGCCUGACGCAGCGACGCCGCGUGGGGGAUGAAGGCCUUCGGGUUGUAAACCCCUUUCAGCAGGGACGAAGCGAAAGUGACGGUACCUGCAGAAGAAGCGCCGGCUAACUACGUGCCAGCAGCCGCGGUAACACGUAGGGCGCAAGCGUUGUCCGGAAUUAUUGGGCGUAAAGAGCUCGUAGGCGGACUGUUGCGUCCGCUGUGAAAAGCUGGGGCUUAACCCUGGCCUUGCAGUGGAUACGGGCAGACUAGAGGGAGGUAGGGGAGAUCGGAAUUCCUGGUGUAGCGGUGAAAUGCGCAGAUAUCAGGAGGAACACCGGUGGCGAAGGCGGAUCUCUGGGCCAUUACUGACGCUGAGGAGCGAAAGCGUGGGGAGCGAACAGGAUUAGAUACCCCGGUAGUCC
rnacentral:rRNA from 1 species